AAACCCAGCAAGAAGAUCUUCCAUUAGGUCAAUUAAUGGUUCGUUUCCAUGACAAAAACGAUUGAAUAAAGCCAUAAUUUUCACGCGUCUGAGAAGUCCAACGCGAUUAGUUUUGUUUCGUAGAUGUAACGGGAUACCGUGUCAUGGAUUGCGAAAGCUAAGGAGAAAUAAAAAGUAAAACGAAAACGAAACACCGCGUGGGGCACGCAACGUGCGUUGGGAACGUGCUCUUGUAAACCGCGCGCGUUCUCGAUGCACUACGUGUGUUCACUGCGACCUGCGCAACAUGGAAAUUGCGAUCGAUCGAUCGACGAUGCGACGACGCGGUACGUUUCAGGUGGACAUUUAAUUACGAAGUUGCCGUCUGUCGAUGACAUCGUCCCGAUCGUGACGCAACCCUCGACGUAGAUCGGCCACGUUCAAAAGACCGGAGGGAGCACGAGUGGCUCGAAUGGAAUUGCGACUGGAGGGAAGCUUCGUCGCGCAUCAGGUUCAAAUAGGAAGCCUACCUAGAACGAUUCGAAAGAGAACAUUUAUGAACAUUUAUGAAUUUUUUUGGGAACCUUUAAAGUUAAUUUUUGAGAUAAACAGAACGCCUGGAAUCGUGACAAUCACGAACACAUAUUUUGUUCAGGACAGACUUCAUGAGAUCGCUUGUACUACGUUUCAUUUUGAUUAUUUUUACCUGGAAAAAAAUUGUGUAUAUUCUUAAAAUGUGAUUAAAUGUGUGUCCAAAACCCCUUUUAAAAUCGCGGUUCCCAAGAAUAAGGAGUUCAACAAGAACGCGAAACGUAAAGUACGGGAUUGGUCGUGUAGAUAAAGCGUCGAUCCGAGGAUCGUGAGGACCCUAGUUUUCUGUUAGACUUCUACACCUUUAUAAAAAUUCCAUAAUCCUCCAAUCCUUGUACUCCAUACUUUGACUUGCAAGUUUUUAAGUGUCAAAUUUUAAACUACAAGAAACACAAUAUAGUUUUUUACUCUUUUAUAGGUUUUACCUGAAUAGUGUGUAAGGUUCUUGGCUUAUUGUCAUCGUCGCUAUCUAUAUUUUCCUUACAAAGAUAUUUUAUUUCUUUUAGACUUCUACACCUUUAUAAAAAUUCCUUAAAUAUUUAAAACAGAAAUGUUCAAAAAGAAUCUAAAAAUUGACGCCCUGGACCAGAAUGCACGUUAAGGGGUGUCAGAAGAUUGAGCUUCGAGGUUGGAAGGAAGUUCGGAUGCGCAUCCAGCGAUUUCGAGUUACUUCUUCGUUGAUCGACCGGAAUAAAUCAUUCCGACUGUUUUCGUUGCAAAGGCUCUGUGCGGCGCGGGCUAUUAUGACGGGAAGCUGACCUUUUGAAUUAAUUGACGUCUAUUGUAACUUGUCCCGCAUCCCUUGGCCGCUUAAGAUUGCGAAAUGAUGCGCGGUCACGUAGAUAUGAUGCUGCCGCCUGCAACAGGAAAAUCGCGAACUUUCUCGCGUGUCGGUAGUUUCAACUGCUCGAGACUCGUGGGAACUCGAAGACACCCUGGCUACCGUUUAUCGCCGGGGUAACAAUCGCAGCACGCCAUUAGCAAUCUAACGUGGCAGAAGCAGAGAUAAAAAAUUAACGGAUAUGCCAAAAAUUUGUAUACGAAAAAAAAAAUAUACAUGUCGAAUUGAGUGACCUCCUCCUUUUCGAAGUCGGUUAAAAAUCGUUAACAUUAUUCGUCGUUCAGGCUAUUUGAUGUUUUGAAAACUAUUGACAUACUAUGACACAAUAUUUUAUUAUAAUAUAUAAUUAAUUGGAUUAUUAUAUAUAUUUUUGUAUUUAUUUAUUGUUACAUCAGCAUGUACACCAUUAGCGACCAUUGCGAAUUACAUUUAUUACACAUCUAUAAAAUGCAUACGUGAGUCAUUAAUAAUUUAUACAAAUAA